GUGCUCACUUCUGCGGCACAUGUAAGAUUGGAAUGUUACAGAGAAGGUUGACAUGGGCCCUGUGCAAUGAUGACACCCAAAUUCGUGAACUGUUCUAAAUUUAU
ensembl:snRNA U6 U6 spliceosomal RNA